rnacentral:lncRNA from 13 species
CUAUUACAUUUAUGAUUCUGGUUGCCUUUGGGGAAGGAAAAGAAUUAGAAGAAUUAGAAUGCAGGUGACUUAUCAUUUAUCUUUAAAAAUGUCUUUCUUAAAAAAGGUUUAAAAUAAGCAACAUACAAAGAACACACUUUAUAUGACUGCAUUAUGUAAAGUUCACAAACAGGCAAACUAGUCUAUGCUAUUAGACUCAGGAGAUGGUUAUGUUUUAUCAGAUAAGGUGGGGGAAUAUCAAGAAACGGGCAAAAGGAGAGGCUGCUUUUCUUUUUGUAGCGUGGUUAUACAACUGUGUUCACUUUGUGAAAAUUCAACAGCUGUACAUUAAGAUAUGUGUACUUUUCCAUAUGUGUGUUAUUUCAAUAUAGAAAGAUAGACAGAAUAGGGGAAAAGCAUUUGCUGAUUUGGAGUAGCAAAUAUAUGGCUAUUAGCUAUAAUAUCACUGCACUUUUCUGUAUUUUUAAAUAUUUUUUCCUAACCAUGUAAAUAAUAAAAAAAAGUAGAAAAGAUAACUCUAGCUGCCCUAUAUAGAGGUUAGAUAGUAGAAUACGCAAAUCAGCUAGAAAGUCAUUGCAAGAGCUCAAGUUAUGAAAGAUGGAACUGGAACUAGGAGAACAGAAGCAGGGGAGAAGAUAAUGGUGAAUUGACACGGCCUGGUGACCACAGGUCAUCCCUUUGGUUGCUCUGUGGGCGUUAAACAAUCCAUCUGUGUGAUUAACCCCACACACCAAGGUCUUGGCCACCUUCGAACAUGGCAAGAACCCUGUUCCAUCUGAAGGCUACCCUUCUGGGCUGUUAUUAUCACCUCUUGGCAACAAGUAAUGUGAGGCUGAAAGGAACUAAGCAUAUUGCCUUAAGUGACGGAGCAAAUAAGAGGCAAAUUCGUGAUUUGAACCCACAUCUGUGUACAUCUAGUCAGUCCUCCCCUCCCUCCCGCCAUCAUCAGAUGGAUCCCUUCUGCGUUCCAGGUAUUGGCAUCCUCUGAGUUCGCUAAAUGUGUGUUCCACUUGAAAUCCGAAUUUCUAGGAAUCAGUCCCAGAAAUUCUGUUUAAUUCCUCCCUCCUCUCAAUAAGGGAUUCUGGUAUAGAACCUGGUUUGUAAACUAAUGUUUUGGAAGUUAGCUUGACAUUUGACAGUAGAAAUAUUCUCGCACAGCCUAGGGAAUUCCCACAUCUUUGUUCAUGCAUAGGAGGAUGUCUUUUGUCUUCCAUCCUUGAAGACCCAAUUCGAAUUUAGCCUUCUCCAGGAAGCCUUCUUGGUCUGCUUCUCCAGCAUGUGGCAUCUCCUCUGUUUCCUGCAAUUAUCUGGUUGUGCCUCUCUAAUGCACUAAUCACUGUAAUGCCUUGGACAGGCUAUCUGCAUGCUUUUACCUCUCCUGGACUUGAAACUCCUUCUGGACAAACCUGGUUUUCUCAUAUUCGUUUCCAUUUAUUCAUCCUCAUUAUCACAGAGGAUGCCAGACACGUGGAUGGAGCCCUAGAUAUAAAUCAAAAAGCUAUCAUUGAAAUGAGUUAUGUUGGAUAGAACGAUCAAGGAACUUUAUUAGAAACCUGUUUCUAGAUGUGAAGCCUGCAGAUCCCUCAAAAUCCUCAGCUGUUUCAGGUUUCUUUGCCUUUUACCACCCAAAUCCCUCUACCAGAAAUAAUCUCUCUCUCCAAUAUAUCUGCCUGGUGAACUUCUCUUGACACUUUUCAAUCAUUGUCCCCUUUGCAAAAUCAUUCCCACCCAGGGGAGCAUUUACUACACCUGCUUCUGUGCUUCUGGGAAACCUCUGCUAUGCUAGGACUCACCAGAGGUAUCCUAUGCUUUAUUGCAUGCAUUCCUUCACUGGACUGCAAGACUCUGCAGGACAGAAUUAGGUCUUACUCGUACAUCUUUUUUUUUUUUUGAGAUGGAGUCUUGCUCAGUCACCAGGUUAGAGUACAGUAGGGCAAUCUCAGCUCACUGCAACCUUUGCCUCCCAGUUUCAAGCAAUUCUCUUGCCU